rnacentral:rRNA from 1 species
UACGUAGGGUCCGAGCGUUGUCCGGAAUUAUUGGGCGUAAAGAGCUCAUAGGCGGUUUGUUGCGUCCGCUGUGAAAUCCCGAGGCUCAACCUCGGGUCUGCAGUGGGUACGGGCAGACUGGAGUGCGGUAGGGGAGAAUGGAAUUCCUGGUGUAGCGGUGGAAUGCGCAGAUAUCAGGAGGAACACCGAUGGCGAAGGCAGUUCUCUGGGCCGUAACUGACGCUGAGGAGCGAAAGCGUGGGGAGCGAACAGG